UCGAGAAUCUUCGGCAAUGGGCGCAAGCCUGACCGAGCGACGCCGCGUGUGGGAUGAAGGCCUUCGGGUUGUAAACCACUGUCGUAGGGGAGGAAGGCCGUGUGAAGAGCAUGGUUUGACCGAUCCUAGGAGGAAGUCCAGGCUAACCUCGUGCCAGCAGCCGCGGUAAGACGAGGUGGACAAACGUUAUUCGGAUUUACUGGGCUUAAAGCGUGCGUAGGCGGCUCAGAAAGUUGGGUGUGAAAGCCCU
rnacentral:rRNA from 1 species